UUGGAGGGCAAGUCUGGUGCCAGCAGCCGCGGUAAUUCCAGCUCCAAUAGCGUAUAUUAAAGUUGUUGCAGUUAAAAAGCUCGUAGUUGAAUUUCGGAAUUUUUUUAUCGGUUGAAUCAACAGGUUCGUACUGAUUUUAAGAAUUUCUACCUUCUGGAGAACCUUAAUGUCAUUUAUUUGAUGUUUUGGGAAACCAGGACUGUUACCUUGAAAAAAUUAGAGUGUUUAAAGCAAGCUAACGCUUGAAUACAUUAGCAUGGAAUAAUGAAAUAGGACGUUCGAUCCUAUUUUGUUGGUUUCUAGGAUUGACGUAAUGAUUAAUAGGGAUAGUUGGGGGCAUUAGUAUUCAAUUGUCAGAGGUGAAAUUCUUGGAUUUAUUGAAGACUAACUACUGCGAAAGCAUUUGCCAAGGAUGUUUUCAUUAAUCAAGAACGAAAGUUAGGGGAUCGAAGACGAUCAGAUACCGUCGUUGUCUUAACCAUAAACUAUGCCGACUAGGGAUCGGAUGAUGUUAAUUUUUUAAUGACUCAUUCGGCGCCUUACGGGAAAC
rnacentral:rRNA from 1 species